CAGCGCCACGAGUGGCAAUCACGUUUAUUGGGCCUAAAGCGUCCGUAGCCGGCUUAGUAAGUCUUUUGUGAAAUCGUUGUGCUCAACAUAACGCUGUGCAAAAGAGACUGCUAGACUUGGAACCGGGAAGGGUCAGAGGUAUUCUGGGGGGAGCGGUAAAAUGCUAUAAUCCCCAGAGGACCACCUGUGGCGAAGGCGUCUAACUAGAACGGCUUCGACGGUGAGGGAUGAAAGCUGGGGGAGCAAAACGGAUUAGAUACCCGAGUAGUCC
rnacentral:rRNA from 1 species